rnacentral:lncRNA from 1 species
GAGCGAAGAUCGUGCCACUGCACUCCAGCCUGGGCGACAGAGAGUGUCUCAAAAAAAUAACAAAUUUAAAAAUUGUUUUUAACAAAGGAGCCCCAGUCUGGAAGAAUCAGAACACUAGAUCUGUGAUCACUGCCUUCAAAGAGCCCAGUCAGCUGAGAGGGCUUAGGUUUGUUCUUUGAAGUUACAAAGACAGAACGUCGACCAGCUGAAGGGAGAGUUUUGGAAUGGCGGGAGCUAUCCAGCGUGGACCCAGCUGCCUGCAGAUCUGGCAGUAGCUGACACAGUCCCUUCACAGGCCUAGGGAGUGAUGGGGUUAAUCACACCUAGAACAACAGCUACCUCUUCCCAGAGGAAUGGGACCAGAAAUCAGGCAAGCCCCUGUGAGGAGUUCCAUGGCAGCGCGCAGGCGGGGCAUUCCUAACCUCCAGAGGGAACCAUGAGGGAUCCUGUGUUCUGGCAGAUGGGCCAGAGAAUUUGAACUUGGGACCAUUGUGUGAGCCCUGGAGAGAAUGAUGGCUCUGGGAUCUGAAAUCUUUCCUUCCGCAGGAACUGGACACGGCAGUGAGGACCAGCGUAUCCAAGAGGAUGGACUUAGUGAUGGGGAACACCCAGGGACAUGCCCGAGAGCCUCAAGAAACACCUUCAGAUGACAUUGCCCAGCGUCUUACAUUAGAGAACUCUCCAGACAGCCCCCGAGGCCUGGGGCCGGGUGCUGCUCCCAGACUGUGAGCUCGUGGCCACGGGA